rnacentral:rRNA from 1 species
UACAGAGGUCUCAAGCGUUGUUCGGAUUCAUUGGGCGUAAAGGGUGCGUAGGCGGCGAGGUAAGUCAGAUGUGAAAUCCCGGGGCUUAACCCCGGAACUGCAUUUGAUACUGCUUUGCUUGAGGACUGGAGAGGAGAUCGGAAUUCACGGUGUAGCAGUGAAAUGCGUAGAUAUCGUGAGGAAGGCCAGUGGCGAAGGCGGAUCUCUGGACAGUUCCUGACGCUGAGGCACGAAGGUCAGGGGAGCAAACGGG